CCACUGUGGAAAGGAGGGGCAUUGGAAGAGGAAUUGCAGGUUAUACCUUGCAACUCUUAAGGACAAACCACAAGGUAUGGUUUAUGUUCUUAUCUUCAAUUCUAACUGUUAGAUCUUCUAAAUAUUUAUAUUUGAUAUAAAGAGCUAAUCACUUGUAUAAUUGUAUAUAGGUGGAGGAGCCAAGUAGAAGAGGAACAAGCAAGGAAUAAUGUGGAGAAGGGUUCGGCCACUAUGUUUUUGCUUACUACUUAGGAAGUUUGUUAGGCAUUUAAAGAUUGUCUUUAAACUUUCUUAUUUUGUUAAGAACUUAAUGUGGCUUCAUAUGAUGGAAGACCACUAUUUGUGCCUAAAUGUAUGAAGGUAUUUAUAUUAGACUCUAAAUAUAUAGAGCUAAUAUUUUUGUGUUAAACAUUAUGAAUGUUUGAAUUAUCAUAUUAAUGUAAUGUGAAGAAUGCCUUUUUAAUAUACUAUUUCCUUAAAGUAGUGUUAUGAAUUGAAAAUUGUCUUGUUGUAUCCUAGAUGAGAUACAAGAGUUAUAUCACAAGUAAUAAGAAAAACGUUUCUUAUAUGGUUAUCACUUAAAUCACAAUGAUCAAGAUCACUCUUGAUUCAAUUAGUAGUUUUGAACAACAUAUUGGGCAUUCUUUAAAAUUGUUUUAAAAUGUCAAUUGUGUUAGUGAUGAAACCAAGAAAGAAGUGUCUAAAUCUAUAAAAUGUUUAAAGACUUUAGUCACUUAAUAACAAGACAUUAACUUAGUGAAGAUUGAAACAAAUAAGCUUGAAAUGUUUUAAAGCUAUUACCCAAUGUCUUCCUCCAAUAAACUCCACGUUUAUACAUUUUGAAUGUAUGAAGUGAUUUCUCAUUAAAGUCAUGAGAAAUAGUGGGAGGUGUGAAAAUGGAUAUAAACUUGAAUGUGAUUGGUUUAUAGUUGUCUAAAUAAAUAAUAGUACUUGACUAUUAUUAAGAGUUUGUAAUUUUAAUUGUUAAAAGAACUCAAGCUCUUCAAACGUUAAAAUGCUAUGUUGUGAGACAUUUAAAGAAUAGUCUUUGAAUGUUGGUUUCGUCAACCUAACGUAAAAUGGUUAUAUGUUGGGUGUUAUCCAUCAUUCUCUUUUAUGAGAACAAGCUAAUAACAAAGCAUAUGGACAAGUUGAUGAAACAAAAAGGGAAUAAGUUUUCAAAAUGAGUCCACAACAUAUGGUUUAACAACAAGACAAUCCAAAUUCAACAUCUCAUGUAACGAUAUUGCUCAAUGUAGUUUUGAUAAAGAAUUAUAUCAACCAACUAGAAGGAAUGGUUGAGUUUCUAUAUUCUUGGUAGGAGCUAUGUUUCCACUAAAGACUUGGAUAAUUCUUAUAUGACUACAUUAAAGGUCUUAGUAUGACUAAAAUUUGAAGUAUGGUGUAUGACACCAUAUAAUUUAAAUGAAUAGACUUAAUGAAACAAGUCACACAUUUUGGAAUUACUUGAGAAGGAAUUCUUUUGUGUAUGAUUCAUUUAAGUUAAUGGGAGCAAUAUGCAUUCAAAUCAAGAAAUUAUAAUUGUUAAUUUUGAAGGAAUGCUAAGUUACAAACAAGGCCAGUGGGAGUGAUGUCAUAAUUUGAGCAACAAAGAUAUGAAUAAAGUCUAUUUGAUAGACUUACUUAAACAUAGAUGUUACUCGAAAAAUGACAAAAUAUGACACGGUCAAUUUUGAAGUAUAGACUUGAAAUUGGACUUAUUGAUAUAGCAAGGCUAUUUCAAUAAUGUUAUAUGGAAUUAAAUCUCAGAUGUUGGAGAUUUAAGAAAGCAUUUUACUAUAUGAUAGAAAAUCACUUUCAUAACCCAUUAUAAUGAAUGUCAUAAAAUCACAAAAGGGACACAUGUAUUGACUUGUGAAGUAGAUAUCCAAAGAUGAAGAAACCACACGGGUUGUCACUUUAAGAUAUUACUAUAUCCCAGGAUCAGAACCAAAGCAACUGAUAGAGUAUUAUUGCCUUUAAGAAAGAAACAUCAGAGUGGGACUCUGGAAGCGUGCAUUCACUUAGGUUGAUUAACCAAAGUGAAAGAUAAGCCAUUUUAACAAAUGGAACUUCAUAAUGGAUGAAGUACUAAUCAUAUGAAUGAAUUGUUAGUAUUGUACUACAAUGGUCUCAAGAUUGGAGCAAAGUUUGUAUAAAGUAUACAAACGAAAUAUAUGUCGAUAUAUAGUUUUAGAAACUGCUUCAAAAAGUGUUUUGAAUGAAGAGGUUCUUAUAGAACCAAUGAUUGAAUCCAAACCAUAAGGUCGUUAGUAGGAUACUACGACGUAAUGGGGCGAUAGCUCAAGCCGUGGAAUCAAGGUCUCAUCAAAAUAUUCGAACACGAUGAAGAGACAUCAUCAAAUGUUUUUGGAAACAUUUGAUAAGUAAAUCCCUUUUUAAAUAAUAAAAGGAAUUAAUACAUAACCAAGUUAACCUACGACCAUAAGCUCUCUCAGCUAAGAUGUAUAAGAUACACUAGUGAUUGACUUUAGUGCAAGUGGGAGAUUGUUGGAAAUAUGCCCUGAAAGUCAAUCUUUAGAAGAAAUCUUUCAGGACAAAU
rnacentral:lncRNA from 1 species